UGACGCUACCCAACACUGGACCCUGAUAAAGGCGAAGAAAAUUUUGUGAAAUACAGAAAACAAACGAAAAUAAGCAGGCACUGGGAAAAUAAGCAGUCAGUCCUCAGUUAAAACACCACCAGUUCAAAUUCACUCCUCCGUUUGAUAGAAAACCGGAAUCAGAACCGAUAUAUAGUCGGCAAGUGUAUAAAAACCAAAAGACCAAAAAUGGCAGAGACUGUGAACAACCUUAAUGAACGUUUUCAGACAUUUAUGAACGGACUCAGCGACCGUUAUGAGCCGUACGUGCGCGAGCACCUGUCCAAGGUGUACAUGGUCCUGGGCAGCACUGCCGCCGCUACCGCAAUGGGCGCCCUUCUCCAGAUGCGUGGUUUCCUCGAUCUGGGCGUCCUGGCGGCGGUGGCCACACUAGUCCUUGUCCUGGGCCUGCACUUCUACAAGGACGACGGCAAAAACUACUACACACGUCUGAGCAUGCUAUACGCCUUUGGAUUCUGCUCCGGCCAGACUCUCGGACCACUUCUUGGCUACAUUUGCAGCAUCAAUCCGGCCAUCAUCCUGUCUGCCCUCACCGGAACCUUCGUCACCUUUGUCACGCUCUCCCUGGCCGCUCUGCUGGCCGAGCAGGGCAAGUACCUCUACCUAGGUGGGAUGCUGGUCAGUGUCAUCAACACCAUGGCUCUGCUGAGUCUCUUCAACAUGAUGUUCAAGUCGUACUUCGUGCAAGUGACUCAACUAUACGUCGGUGUUUUUGUCAUGGCCGCCUUCAUCGUUUAUGACACCCAAAAUAUAGUGGUGAAGUGUCGCAACGGCAACCGAGAUGUGGUCCAACAUGCGCUGGAUCUGUUCUUCGAUGUGCUCAGCAUGUUCCGCCGUUUGCUGAUUAUCCUGACGCAAAAGCUCAAGACCUUCAUGGUUUAAGGCGAUUCGUGCCAUAGCUCGAUAUCAGAUAUAAUCUCCGAACAGAGGUCGCUGAACACUUUGCAAAAGAUAGUCAAAAGUCUCGCUAUGAAAAAACCUUUCUCAAACGGAGGAGCGAAAACAGAAUGAACGCCGCAAGAGAAACUAAAGCUGGAAGCCCUAGAAGGAGGCCGCAGGGCGUUGGCUGUUUUCUCUUUUUAAAAUUUUAUUCGCAUACUAAAUAAACAGGCCGUGUAAUAUUUGGCUCUAAAAUUACAAAGCAUUA